UUCAGGGUUUUAUUUUCACACUUCUAUCUCCAGUAAGAAUGGCCACCCGGAAGAAAGUUUUCAUAAUUUGUGUCGCGUUACCGCUUAUAAUAGGGGCAUUGAGCAUGUUGUUGCCCGGAGCUGAAGCUCGAGAUGUGGCUCUAGUGAAGCGUUCACAACUUUCCCAACCAACCAUACAGCUUGUAGUUCGACUGGUACCGGUAUUGAGAACACUUUUGGGGAUCUUAUCUCCAAUAGUAGGUUGAAUAAAGCGUACAGAACCAAUAUUUCCGAAUUAAAAAGCUCCACUUAAUAAUUUCCGAAAAAUUAAUCGAUGAAUUGAAACAAAGUUCCUUGAAAUAAAAAGUGAAAUGCAUUGACAAACUUAAGA